UACGUAGGGGGCAAGCGUUGUCCGGAAUUAUUGGGCGUAAAGGGCGCGUAGGCGGCCACCGCAAGUCAGUUGUGAAAGCUCUGGGCUUAACCCAGAAAGGUCAGCUGAUACUGCGGGGCUAGAGUGCAGAAGGGGCAACUGGAAUUCUCGGUGUAGCGGUGAAAUGCGUAGAUAUCGAGAGGAACACCUGCGGCGAAGGCGGGUUGCUGGGCUGACACUGACGCUGACAGCGCGAAAGCUAGGGGAGCGAACGGG
rnacentral:rRNA from 1 species